UACGUAGGGCGCAAGCGUUAUCCGGAAUUAUUGGGCGUAAAGAGCUCGUAGGCGGUUUGUCGCGUCUGCUGUGAAAACCCGAGGCUCAACCUCGGGCCUGCAGUGGGUACGGGCAGACUAGAGUGCGGUAGGGGAGAUUGGAAUUCCUGGUGUAGCGGUGGAAUGCGCAGAUAUCAGGAGGAACACCGAUGGCGAAGGGCAGAUCUCUGGGCCGUAACUGACGCUGAGGAGCGAAAGCAUGGGUAGCGAACAGG
rnacentral:rRNA from 1 species